UGUGCUUAGGGGCAAUAUUGGUGACGUUAGUUUGCGUGGCUCUUCGGCGGCUAAGUACUGAUUUAGGAUCGAGGCGUACAAUCCCGACAAUCAAGGCACUUCCGCAUCGGCAUCUUUGAGUCCUCUUGGUGUGGGACUCAUUCUUUUAUUCAUUCCAUUUUAUAUCAUUCUUUUAGUGUUCUAGUUAGUUGUAUGCUCUGAACACGUUCCUUAAAUGCAUAUUCUUUAUUCUUUUAUGUUUAUAAACCUUAU